UACGGGGGGGAGCAAGCGUUGUUCGGAUUUACUGGGCGUAAAGGGCGCGUAGGCGGUCGUGACAAGUCACUUGUGAAAUCUCCGGGCUUAACUCGGAACGGUCAAGUGAUACUGUCGGACUAGAGUACAGAAGGGGCAACUGGAAUUCUCGGUGUAGCGGUGAAAUGCGUAGAUAUCGAGAGGAACACCUGCGGCGAAGGCGGGUUGCUGGGCUGAUACUGACGCUGAGGCGCGAAAGCUAGGGGAGCGAACGGG
rnacentral:rRNA from 1 species